rnacentral:rRNA from 1 species
AUUGAACGCUGGCGGAAUGCUUUACACAUGCAAGUCGAACGGUAGAGGGGGCAACCCCUCGAGAGUGGCGAACGGGUGAGUAGUAUAUCGGAACGUGCCUAGUCGUGGGGGAUAACGUAGCGAAAGUUACGCUAAUACCGCAUACGAUCUAUGGAUGAAAGCGGGGGAUCGCAAGACCUCGCGCGAUUGGAGCGGCCGAUUUCAGAUCAGGUAGUUGGUGGGGUAAAGGCCCACCAAGCCAACGAUCUGUAGCUGGUCUGAGAGGACGACCAGCCACACUGGAACUGAGACACGGUCCAGACUCCUACGGGAGGCAGCAGUGGGGAAUUUUGGACAAUGGGCGAAAGCCUGAUCCAGCCAUUCCGCGUGCAGGAUGAAGGCCCUCGGGUUGUAAACUGCUUUUGUACGGAACGAAAAGGCGCCUACUAAUACUGGGUGUUGAUGACGGUACCGUAAGAAUAAGCACCGGCUAACUACGUGCCAGCAGCCGCAGUAA